GACCGCGUAGCUCAGUUGGAAGAGCAUUGGGCUAGUAUUCCAAAGGUCGUAGGUUCGAAUCCCAUCGUGGCCG
rnacentral:tRNA from 1 species